GAUGAACGCUGGCGGUAUGCUUAACACAUGCAAGUCGAACGGAGUACUUUCGGGUACUUAGUGGCGGACGGGUGAGUAACGCGUAAGAACAUGCCUUUAGAUUGGGGACAACAGUUGGAAACGACUGCUAAUACCGAAUGUGCCGAAAGGUGAAAGAUUAAAUUGUCUAAAGAUUGGCUCGCGUCAGAUUAGCUAGUAGGUGGUGUAAGAGACUACCUAGGCGACGAUCUGUAGCUGGUCUGAGAGGACGAUCAGCCACACUGGAACUGAGACACGGUCCAGACUCCUACGGGAGGCAGCAGUGGGGAAUUUUCCGCAAUGGGCGAAAGCCUGACGGAGCAAUACCGCGUGAGGGGACAAGGUCUUUUUGGGUCGUUAAACCUCUUUUCUCAAGGAAGAUUUAGACGGUACUUGAGGAAUAAGCAUCGGCUAACUCUGUGCCAGCAGCCGCGGUAAU
rnacentral:rRNA from 1 species